ACGGAAGGCAGCAGUGGGGGAUAUUGCACAAUGGGGGAAACCCUGAUGCAGCGACGCCGCGUGAGUGAAGAAGUAUUUCGGUAUGUAAAGCUCUAUCAGCAGGGAAGAAAAUGACGGUACCUGACUAAGAAGCUCCGGCUAAAUACGUGCCAGCAGCCGCGGUAAUACGUAGGGGGCGAGCGUUAUCCGGAUUUACUGGGUGUAAAGGGCGCGUAGGCGGGGAUGCAAGUCAGAUGUGAAAUCCAUGGGCUCAACCCAUGAACUGCAUUUGAAACUGUAUUUCUUGAGUGCUGGAGAGGUAGACGGAAUUCCUUGUGUGGCGGUGAAAUGCGUAGAUAUAAGGAAGAACACCAGUGGCGAAGGCGGUCUACUGGACAGUAACUGACGCUGAGGAGCGAGAGCGUGGGGAGCAAACAGGAUUAGAUACCCUGGUA
rnacentral:rRNA from 1 species